rnacentral:lncRNA from 1 species
UCAGGAAUGUGGAUGACAUGUAGCAGCUAUUUUUUUAUUCCUUUCUGUGUUAAUCAGAGAUACAAGCUGGAGUAUUUCUGGGUGAAUAAACUUUCCAGCAGUUGAAUCAUAAAAAUCCUGCAGUCUGCCAGGAGUGUUUUCCAGCUCUUCAUACUCAAGUGCCUGCAGUAUCAUCUCACACUGAUCCAACUGUUUUACAAACUUGGCUUCUGCAGUACACUGGUUUUCAUAUUCCUCCCAGAGUUCAUAGAUUUCUUUUUUGAGGUCCUCUGAUAAAAGCUGGGUCAGUUGUCGCAUAGCAGCCUCUUCUCUCCUGUGUUUCUCCUCUUUUGAAAUGUUGUCUGCAGGAGCAAUGUCUCCAACAAUGCAUUCAGCCAUAUCAUGAACCAAAGCUAAUCGUAUGCACCUGUCCUUGUUAAGGCUUUUGUCUUCGGUCACCAAGGCCAUCACUGCCAUCCUGUACAUAUGAUCAGAAACGCUCUCUGGCUUUUCCACGUUCCUGUACACCCAUCCUGUCCGCGGUACUCUCUUGAGUUGCCCAAGCAGCCGCAGGAAGGGCAACAUGCCACCCCCACCGGGCCCCGCCGCCAUGCGCGCCUGCUAGCCACCUCCUGCUUUCCCUCCUCCUCUUUCUCCUCCUCCUCCACCUCGCGACGCCGCCGCUAGGUGGCCCAGCACUCGAGCCUGCCCCCAAAGACAGGCAGCGGCCUGGCGGUGGGACGGCCUUAAAGAGUACGGGGCGGGGGGAGGAAGGGGGUGGGUUGCGUGAGCCACGUCGAUAUCAGUUCUUCAACAAAUUGCCGAGAAAGAGCGGGGCUGGCGCAGGUUGUGUUAGUUACUAUUUCCUGUCAUGUCCAUUUCGUCAGCUGUGUGCUGUGGGUGCUGGAGGAGUUAUUAAUGAUGUGAUAUAAGUGUACGUACUGCUCACAUAACUCUCUCUGUUGCAAGGAAAGAAUCGGGAAUGAACUAUAUAACCAUGGUCUGCACAAACUCUCCUGGUCAGCGUGUUUUCAUCUAAUUAAAUUCUUCAUGCUCCUAAAGCUUUUCUUUGAACCUAAAAACUGCAACAAAGGUGGAAAAGUAGAAACUGGGCUGCUAUGGUUAGAGGCAAUGGCAAAAACAAAUUGCUGCUGAGGCCUUCUCUGAGUAGUUCAUAAUUCAGUCGAAACUGAUCACACUGAUGACCUUCAGAAGGCUUUUCUUUUCUUCUUUAGUAAAUGGAGUAGGCUAAUGUAAUGAUUCAGAGAAAAGGGAGUGGUUAUCGCAGGUGCUGUACUCAAAGCUUUUAGUUCAGAGACUCCUCGAGUCUGGCUACAGGCACUUCUCAUCACUUUCACAAGUACAUAAAAUACACUAGACUGCUUUGCUAUCUGUAGCUUUUCCCAAUGUGCUCUGUUUCUUUGCUGUUUUUAUAUUGCCAGCUGAAAUUGCAGAUAAAAGUUUAAAUGUGGUGAUUAAAUACUGUUUUCAGAGAAGAACGUCUACUGUUUGUCAGAUAUCAACAGAUAGCAAAGUAUUUUUAUUUUAUGCCCGAACACAUUUUGGUAACCAUUUAAAAACUAUCUUGUUGCAAUAAACAAGGACCGUAGACCAGGAAAGUCAUCAGUUUUCCAUUUGUACAUGACCAUAGAGAUGCCGCAUAGCCCGCCCUCCCCUGUGAAUGCAGGUCUGUUCUGUUAGAGAUUUGUCUCAAAAGCUUUCAAAACCACUCUAAUUAAAAACUUACAUCUUUUCUCCGUGUUAACUGCCUUGCAAGUGAAUAAUGUCCUCCUAGGACCUCCCAAACCACUUCUGGCUAUUGCUUGGUGUUCCAUUGUCUACUACCAGAGGGGUUUAGUUCUGUGGUAUUUGUAAACUUAAAGUAGCUGUAGGCUGAUACUCCAUGACCCCUUAAGUUUUUCAUCAGGCAGUACAGAACCAGCUCCCUCAGCCUGUUCAUGGUGUGAUUUAGAUCCUGGUCAUCUUGGUAGACCUGCAUACCUCUUGGACUGGGGAAGCACCACUCUUGUCUAGGCAGGGCUUCA